GUUUCUUCACUAUUUUCAUUCUAGUCUAAACUGUUAGUAGAUCUGUUAUGGUUCUUCUUUGGUGCAGUUAAUCCUUCUGUUGUUUAUUCCAGUUUGUUUUGAGUCUACCUUGAUGUGUUUUUGUCUUUUUUGUCUCUCUCUUUACUCUCUUUCUUUUUAGAAUUGAUUCCAAUUGUGAAAGGCCACGUCAACAAAGUUGUUUACCCUUUAAAGUAUCUUUCGAAGAUGUCUAAGUGUUCUCUUGUUCUGUUUAAGUUUAUGGAUGGAAAAUCCGAGGUUACCUGAGAAAAAUGGUUGAAAAGAAUAGAUGAAAAAUUACAUUUUUCAUUUGGUGUUUCAACUCUAUUGAUGGCAUUUGAUCGACCUUGGUUGAGACAAAUUGCUCUGUCACUUGAAUGAUGCAAGCUUUGCUCUGAUUGAAAUAAUUGGCUCAAAUGCGCAGGAAUCGACUCAACUGGUUUGUUGUGCCUCUCUGUCUUUUUGUUUUUGCUCUUCUUUCUUUAUAGAGUUUUAAUUCCAUAACAGUGAAAAAGGCCAAUCCAUUCAAGUUGUGUAUCUUUAAAGUAUCUCUCGAAGUGUUCUCUUGUUCUGUUAAUUAUCUCUGGGAUAAAGCUAAUGGAUGGGAAAAUCCGAGUUUACCUGAAAAUGGUUGAAAGUUAAUCAAUGAAGAAUCCUAUUUUUCAUUUGGUGUUUCAACUCUGAUGGCAUUUGAUCAAUAUUUGGUUAAGUUAACUAUUCUUAGAUGAUGCAUGCUUUAAACCAUUUUCUUUAUAGCCGGAAAUCAAUAGAUCUGUAACUGACCUGGUUUGUUGUGAUGGGUCGACUUAUUGAUGAUUGGUUGAUCUUUAACAAUCUCUCAAGGUCACUGCAGGGAGUAUCUAAUCCUUUUUUCCUCUAACGUUAAUUCCUCUAGUUUCAGGUUCUGGACUCUUCUCUUUUCUUUCUCUCUCUCUCUUUUUCUCUCUUUUUUCUCUUUGUCUUGUUUUUUACUUUUCCAUAGUGUCAAACGAUUAAUUUACCGCAGGUCUCAUGUUAAUUAUCCGGGAAGAUACAGUUGUGUUUUGUUACAGUUAUAUAAAAGAAGAAUGUCUGUCCUUUAAUUGAUCCUAUCAAUUAAUCCAUGGUUUACUGGGGUCAUCUCUAUUGUCUGCCUUCGGGAUGGAUCAAGCCUAUUAUAACACUUCACUGCAUGUUAUAAUGGAUCUCUUUUCAAGUUACUAAAGUGGCCGAUUGAAGCUUUAGUAUCUCAAAGUAUUUUGCCAAAGUUUCUGUCAUUUCGUGUUGUCAAAUUGCUGCCUAUUCCUCACUUGCCUGGAAUUCUGCAAUUUGGGUUUUUCUGUACCAUGACCUCAAUUUUAACGUGGAUUCAACUCUGUUACCUGUUUAUUCUUGGAUCACUUGAGAUUUUUAUAUAUCAGCUUUAUAAAGCCUUAGCUAUCUGGGAGUUUAAUUAGGAUCAACUGUGAGUCGCUAGGAUGUCAAUAGGAAGUCGAUAGGAAAUCAAUAGGAGGUUCAUAGGAGGUCACUAGUGGUUAAAAAUGCUCACCUUUCAUUCCCUCAUCACCAUCUCAGCUUAUCAUUAAGGAGUUCGCCUUUCAUCCCUGCAAUUUACAAUUUUGAGAAACCCCACCCUAACGAAUAUGCUGUUAUGUCAUGUCUUUAUCAUUUUUAUUGUUCCAAUCUUCAUCUCGCUUUAAUUUAUCGUCUUUCCGCGUAAUGAGUUUAAAAUUUAUACCUUCCUGAUGAAUGGUUAGUUCUGUUUACCAUUGCCUCACCAUCUGUGUUUGCAAACACUCACCUUUACGUAUUGCACAUUAAUUAUAUUUUUAAUGGUUAAAUGUACACAUCUCCAAAGUACCGUUUUUUGAAUCCCCGCUGAAAUCAUGAAUCAUUUGAUAAAUCCCAAUAUGUUGAGUUCACAUAAGUUAAUCCAAGUCCACACAUGAUAAAUUGCUAUAAUCACAAGCUGAUUGUUUAAAGCUAAGCUAAGAUUUGCCAUGAAAAUUCUGGUCAUUUCCAUCCAUCUGAUUGUAAUUGGGUCUCAAAACAUCAAUUUAUGGUUUUCUGUCUAAUCUAAAGUCAAAAGAUAAAGUCGUGAUGAAUAUGUCGCAACCCUUGAAGGUGUUAUGGUCAAAGUUCUGAUGUUAAAUACUACUGAUAUUUAAUUGGUCUAAUUAAUCUCUAAUCUAAAUUACAAAGUCAAGUUUAAAGUAAGUGGGUAUCCAGCGAAAGUUUUAGUUCAAAUCGUAAGCCGUUCUCAAUCUCAAUUAUACUCAUUGGUCGUUCCAUGUCUCCAAGCUUAACUACUCAUCUUAUAAAAUCAUUAUCCACAUUCAAAGUUCAUUCAAAGCUCCUAGUCAUCUAAAUAUCCAUCUUUCAAUUGGUUUAAUUUAUCAGUCAAAAUAAUGAAGUCAAGUUUUAAAGUAAGUGGUCAUCCAGCUAAAGUUUAGUUCAAAUCGUAAGCCGUCUACAAUCUCAAUCUCAAUCAUAAUCAUUGGUCGUUCCAUGUUCUCCAAGCUUAAUCAUCUUAUAAAAUCACGUCUAAUUCAAAGUUCCUAGUCAUCUAAAUAUCCAUUUUCCGAAAUUUCGAAGUUCUCAAUUUAAUUGUUCAUCAAAUCCAUUCAAAUUCCGAGUUUUCAUUCACUACAAAACCAGUUUUUCUAAUUCAAAUUCAAUUCAAGUUAAAAGUCCAUUGAUCAAUUAGUAAAUUCAAAAUCUUCAUAUGGCGUUUAAAAUUAAUGAAUCAAAGAUUUCAGUGCCAGCCUGGUUCAACUCAUUACAACUUACUAGUUCGUAAAUUCUCAUUGUGGCUCCCGCAAAGUUUGGAUGUGUUAUUGAAGCUUUUUUCAAAUUACCAUUGAAGUUAUAUUGGUUUCCAGUGUUUUACCAAUUUCUCAUUACAAAGAUGUCAAAGGUCCAUUAAGAUCACAUUAUAUUGGGUUUAAGGAGUUUUUGUUCAGCCUGUGCGCUAUUCAAUAAUGGUUUUAUUAAUUACUGGCGUAAAAAAUGUUCAAUUUUUCAUUGCGUAUCGAGUUAAGUGAAGUUCAAGUUUAUUCGAGUAACUGGGGUAUAGCGAGUCGAUAAAUCUUAAAUUUUGUUUUCAUGCUUAAAAGCUCAAGCUGAAGUGGUACAAUAUAAGUUUGGUAGAUUUUUUGGUCCAUAAAAUCACUUGCAAGGUUAAAAAGGAGUAUCAACUGUUGGAAGAAUGUUAAUUUCUUAAUUCAUUUUUUGCUGAUUUACGUAAAGGGAUAAUUUAAUAUCUUCAAUUUAAUUCAAAUGCUAAAAGCAAUCAUACAUUUGCUUCAAUAUCCGAGUGCUGGUUUUGGUUUUGGUUUUAACGAAAAGUUAUAUUAAGCUGUUAAUGUUCUGUUAUGCCGAAGGUUUCUGAACUAUAAUUUUUGUCAAAAUUUUGUUCUACAUUUCCUCAUUUGAUUUUUUUCUAUUCAAUUUUUGCUGAUCGAUGUUUCAAGUAACUUUCAUGUUUCUUGUGUCAAAUUCAAGGGGUUAAAUCAAAUGAAAUGAUAUCUACUGGUUUAUCUAAGAAGUAAUACUGAAAUUUACAUUUAAAUUCAAAUUCAAAUUCAUACAAAGAUUCAUGCUACAAAUUGACGCCAUUUUCUUACUUCGUAUCCAUACUGCGUAUCCAUGCUACAAUUACUGAAUUCAUACUGAAAUUACUACAAAUGAUUACUACAAUUCCAUACUACAAAGUCGUACUAAAAGUUAUACUGAAAAUUCACACUGAAAUUCACCCGCAAGUUCCAUACUGCGAAUUCGUACUGAGAUUUAUUCAAAUUUCUAUUGAAAAUUAUUCUGAAAUCCACAUUGUGUUUACAUUGAAAUGCUCUGCUAUUUUGCUAUGAAAAAUUCUGCUUAAGUUGUGUUAAAAUUUCAUAAUGAAAACUUUUUCUGAAUCUGUGUUAAAAAUGUACAUUGAAAAUUUAUAUUGGUAAUUUAUUUUGAAACUCAAAUUGUAAUUUAAGGUGAAAUACUGAAAUUUAUUCUGAAUUCAUACUGAAUUUUAUACUGAAAUUGUUCAACUAAAUUGUGAACUGAAGUUGUAUCUUUCUGUUUUAAUAUGAAUGGGUUUUCUUGUAUUUGAAAUGAGCCACAUAAGUUUGAUUUUACCUAAACCAAAGUGUAUCUAAGUUUUUGUGUUUAUUUCUGAUUAAUACUGUUUGUGUUUAAUUUCAAUUGAAAUUUUGUGUUCAAAUUUUACUGAUUGAGUUUCUUGGUGAAUAAAGUGUUUUGUUGUGCUAAAAAAGUGUUCAUUUAUUUCUCAUCUCUACAAGCAAAGCCAAGGAAAAGAAUCAUCAAGUCAUCUUCAACGACCUGGUCAAUCACCUUUCACCUAUCACCAAUAUUAAUCCCCAUUCCCCAUGAAUUGUUAAAUCCCUUACCCCCGAUAAAUAAUACAAAGCGCUAAAAUGUCAUUAAAUCUAGAUUUAACCGCUAAA